CUGAUUGGAAAAUUAGUUUGACACAUGAUGAAAACAUUUCUGAAAAGCACUGAGAGAAAAAAGAACGAGUGCGGAGUGAACAAAGUUUGAAACUUGAGUCGUCAGUAAAAACGAGUAAAUAUAGGGUGUCCCAAAGUCUCCAUACACACGUUUUAGCAACAAACAAACAAACAAAAAUCACACUUAGUUUAUAUUAUAAAUGUUUAUUUUUUUUCAGGUAGCCUGUAAGAACGCCUUUGAUGAAAGCAGAACCUGUUGAAAUUCUCGAGGCUGGAUCGGGACGCUGUCGCAAGGUUAUGAUGGACGUCAACAGAAAACAUACCAAACGCUUCACACGCAAUGCUGUCGCCAACCUGGGAGCCAAAGGUGGCAGAGACGAUGCUGAACCCAGUCAGUUCUUCAAUUUUCAACCCACAAUCAUCAUAUGACAUCUGAGCUCACUGCUGCAGCAACAUUUACUCAACAUAUGAAACAGCGUAUGUGGAUGUGAUUUCUGCGUCAGGGAUCAUCUGACGUCUGUGUGGUGAUGAGGUUGAGCUCAUCAACAUAAAUGCUGAUUCACGCUUAUUCCGCAAGCAAACUCGGAAUGUUUAUGGAACUUCUUGGCUUUUCUGAAGAUGUAUAUUGAACAGGAAGUGGGUGGGGGUUAAUAAGGAAGUAGCAACACCCCAGUGGUGUGUCCAAGUUCUUAGGUUUGGGGUGGCCAACAGGGGCUGGCACAUGUGCUCAAGAACUUGGACACACAUACUGUAUGUGCAGUAAAUACAACCCCAAUUCCAAAGAAAACCAACAGAACGCAAUAAUUAGCAAAUCUCAUAAACCCGCACGUUAUUCACAAUAGAACGUAGAAAACAUAUCAAAUGUUUAAACUGAGGAAAUGUAAAAAAAUAAAUAAAUAAGCUGAUUUUGAAUUCGAUGCCUGCAACAGGUCUCAAAAAGUUGGGACGGG
ensembl:lncRNA